UACGUAGGGUGCAGGCGUUAAUCGGAAUUACUGGGCGUAAAGCGUGCGCAGGCGGUCUGCUAAGUGAGGUGUGAAAUCCCCGGGCUUAACCUGGGACCUGCGCUUCUAACUGGCAGGCUUGAGUGCGGCAGAGGAGACUGGAAUUCCUGGUGUAGCAGUGAAAUGCGUAGAUAUCAGGAGGAAUACCGAUGGCGAAGGCAGGUCUCUGGGCUGACACUGACGCUCAUGCACGAAAGCGUGGGGAGCAAACAGG
rnacentral:rRNA from 1 species